AUGUCUGUGUUUUCUCGAACAAUAAAACAAACUUCAGAAAAAAAACGACGAUAUUCUUUUUUUCUCCUUCAUACAUGGGCUGCACUUCACGUCGAUACAAUCUGCACUGCAAAACAAGAAAACAAGAACUUUUCUGAACUGCAUCCGUGCGAGGCCAUGGCGCACGCAAGCACUGAAACGUCCAUGAUACCAGACCGCGUGCGAGACCAUGGUGAACUGCAUCUGAAGGCAAAAAAAAAGAAGCAGCAAAACAUGCAAUUUUUCACCUCCAGCUCCGUGAUUGAACGAGGUUGGCCUCCUGCAAACUGA
rnacentral:rRNA from 1 species